rnacentral:rRNA from 1 species
CCUUACACAUGCAAGUCGAACGGCAGCAUGAUCUAGCUUGCUAGAUUGAUGGCGAGUGGCGAACGGGUGAGUAAUACAUCGGAACGUGCCCUGUAGUGGGGGAUAACUAGUCGAAAGAUUAGCUAAUACCGCAUACGACCUGAGGGUGAAAGUGGGGGACCGCAAGGCCUCAUGCUAUAGGAGCGGCCGAUGUCUGAUUAGCUAGUUGGUGGGGUAAAGGCCCACCAAGGCGACGAUCAGUAGCUGGUCUGAGAGGACGAUCAGCCACACUGGGACUGAGACACGGCCCAGACUCCUACGGGAGGCAGCAGUGGGGAAUUUUGGACAAUGGGCGAAAGCCUGAUCCAGCAAUGCCGCGUGUGUGAAGAAGGCCUUCGGGUUGUAAAGCACUUUUGUCCGGAAAGAAAUGGCUCUGGUUAAUACCUGGGGUCGAUGACGGUACCGGAAGAAUAAGGACCGGCUAACUACGUGCCAGCAGCCGCGGUAAUACGUAGGGUCCAAGCGUUAAUCGGAAUUACUGGGCGU